UAUUCGCCGUGGCAAAACAAUCAAAAGGUUGUGACGCAAAGCUAUAGGGACUGUAAAAUGUCAGCCAGCUGCAGAU
rnacentral:ncRNA from 1 species